UUUUCCCCCUGAAGUAAGAGCGUCCAUGUGGGAAAACCAGCUUUAGAUUCCAUUUUUGCUGAAGAAGAACUUUCUUUGUGCAGGAGUCUCACAACUGCAGAAGUUUUGCGCUGGCUGGGUAGACAGAAGAUCCUAUUCUUCUGGAAGAAUUACAUGGACAGUGUUACAGAGGUUCAGAGGUCCAACUCAUCAUUUUUUAGCUAUGGUGACCAGGCACUGGAACAGAUUUCUUGGAGAGCUUGUGGAGUUUCCCUCGCUGGAGAUAAUCAAGAAUAUUCACUUGGAUGCAAUCCUGUGCCAUGUACUUUGGGAUGACCCUUCUUGAGCAGGGAGUCUGAACUACAUGACCUACUGCAGUCCCUCUCAACCCGAUUCAUUCUGUGAUAAUCAGUGAUAUGUUUAUGAGUCUUUACUCUUUUUCUUAAAUAUGUGGCAUUUGGGGGAAAAAAACCCCAUGAAAAAACGAGUAAAGAAUUUAGUAGUAAGGACCUAUGUGAAAGCCUUCAAAAUAAAAUAAAAAAGACAGAGGUGUGCAAGUUUAUAUGGUUUUAAAGAUGUUUCAUGCAUACCUGCUUUUACACUACCUUGUUCAUUGUGCUUUCUUACUCACCCUUUUAUUUCCUUUAUAAAAUUUAUAUACAUUUAUAACAGUUCUUACUUACAUAUCACUGUUACUACUGUGAAGAUGUGUGGGAGACCCUUGCUGCCAUCACACCAUUCCUGCUGCCUCUUUGUUAAACCCUUUCCCUUGAUACUAAGUGUGUUUGUUGUUUCUUUACAUGGUAACUCAAAAAUACACUAUGCCUCUUCCUCUGUGUUGGUAGAGCUUUUAGCUUAACUGGGUUUUAGGCCCUAUUAUCACAAACAAUAAUUAACAGUGUAAGGCAUGUCAUAUGUUCAAAGAAGUUUGAAAGCA